rnacentral:rRNA from 1 species
UACGUAGGGAGCUAGCGUUGUCCGGAAUCAUUGGGCGUAAAGCGCGCGUAGGCGGCCCGGUAAGUCCGCUGUGAAAGUCAAAGGCUCAACCUUUGAAUGUCAGCGGAUACUGCCGGGCUAGAGUCCGGAAGAGGCGAGUGGAACUCCUGGUGUAGCGGUGGAAUGCGCAGAUAUCAGGAAGAACACCAACGGCGAAGGCAGCUCGCUGGGACGGAACUGACGCUAAGGCGCGAAAAGCGUGGGGAGCGAACAGG